CAGCAGCCGCCACGGGAAUACAGAGGGUGCGAGCGUUAAUCGGAUUUACUGGGCGUUAAGCGUGCGUAGGCGGCUUUUUAAGUCGGAUGUGAAAUCCCUGAGCUUAACUUAGGAAUUGCAUUCGAUACUGGGAAGCUAGAGUAUGGGAGAGGAUGGUAGAAUUCCAGGUGUAGCGGUGAAAUGCGUAGAGAUCUGGAGGAAUACCGAUGGCGAAGGCAGCCAUCUGGCCUAAUACUGACGCUGAGGUACGAAAGCAUGGGGAGCAAACAGGAUUAGAUACCCCGGUAGUCCCUGUCUCUUAUAC
rnacentral:rRNA from 1 species